rnacentral:rRNA from 1 species
ACGGAAGGCAGCAGUGGGGAAUAUUGCACAAUGGGCGCAAGCCUGAUGCAGCGGUGCCGCGUGAGGGAAGAAGGUUUUCGGAUUGUAGACCUCUGUCAUCGGGGACGAUAAUGACUGUACCCGAGAAGGAAGCUCCGGCUAACUACGUGCCAGCAGCCGCGGUAAUACGUAGGGAGCGAGCGUUAUCCGGAAUUACUGGGUGUAAAGGGAGUGUAGGCGGGACUGUAAGUCAGAUGUGAAAUAUACCGGCUCAACUGGUAGACUGCAUUUGAAACUGCGGUUCUUGAGUGAAGUAGAGGUAAGCGGAAUUCCUAGUGUAGCGGUGAAAUGCGUAGAUAUUAGGAGGAACAUCAGUGGCGAAGGCGGCUUACUGGGCUUUAACUGACGCUGAGGCUCGAAAGCGUGGGGAGCAAACAGGAUUAGAUACCCUGGUA